rnacentral:rRNA from 1 species
GAGAAAUUUGCUCGUCCGUCUGGAUUUAUCCGGAUGUUCGUGCAUUGUACAACUCUGUGCGGUGGAUCACUCGGCUCGUGUGUCGAUGAAGAGCGCAGCCAACUGUGUGAAUUAAUGUGAACUGCAUACUGCUUUGAACAUCGACAUCUUGAACGCA